ACGCUGGCGGCGUGCCUAAUACAUGCAAGUCGAGCGGKGUUGWUUAGAAGCUUGCUUCUAAWCAACCUAGCGGCGGACGGGUGAGUAACACGUAGGCAACCUGCCCACAAGACAGGGAUAACUACCGGAAACGGUAGCUAAUACCCGAUACAUCCUUUUCCUGCAUGGGAGAAGGAGGAAAGACGGAGCAAUCUGUCACUUGUGGAUGGGCCUGCGGCGCAUUAGCUAGUUGGUGGGGUAAAGGCCUACCARGGCGACGAUGYGUAGCCGACCUGAGAGG
rnacentral:rRNA from 1 species